rnacentral:tRNA from 1 species
GCUGCCAUAGCUCAGGGGUAGAGCACGUCCUUGGUAAGGACGGGGUCGGAGGUUCAAUUCCUCUUGGCAGCACCA